CUCAAUAAUAAUGCUGAAUAUACAAGGUCAUUACAUGUCACAAAUCUAACAAAAGCAAGAGAGACCUUGUACAACGAAAAGACAAUAUGUGCAGCACUGAAUGAGAUGCACCUGACCCCAGACAUAUUGGUUGUGGAAGUUUAUAUGUACAUAUGGCAGGUUAUGUACUACUCAGAACUGACUACAGAAUACAGAAACAAGGAGAAAUAGUGAUCUUCAUCCAAGAAGACCUGGCAACAAAUGUCCUCCUCUCUCACUCCAACACAAAUAAUGUAUUAUACGCUAAUAAUACAUGUGAUUGACCUCAAUUUGAUCAUAGGCAUUACCUACAGUCUUCCUGAUGCAG